UGGGGAAUAUUGGGCAAUGGAGGAAACUCUGACCCAGCGACGCCGCGUGCGGGAUGAAGGCCUUCGGGUUGUAAACCGCUUUCAGCAAGGAAGAAGCGAAAGUGACGGUACUUGCAGAAGAAGCACCGGCUAACUAUGUGCCAGCAGCCGCGGUAAUACAUAGGGUGCAAGCGUUGUCCGGAAUUAUUGGGCGUAAAGAGCUCGUAGGCGGUUUGUCGCGUCUGCUGUGAAAUCUGGGGGCUCAACCCCCAGCCUGCAGUGGGUACGGGCAGACUAGAGUGCGGUAGGGGAGAUUGGAAUUCCUGGUGUAGCGGUGGAAUGCGCAGAUAUCAGGAGGAACACCAAUGGCGAAGGCAGAUCUCUGGGCCGUUACUGACGCUGAGGAGCGAAAGCGUGGGGAGCAAACAGG
rnacentral:rRNA from 1 species